GUAUUGAAAUUCUGGAGAGGGCAGAGGGAGAUGGACUUCAUAUUUAAAGAUGACAGCCAGCUGAAGUAAAGUGUCACUUCAAUGACAUGGCUUAAGGGAAGCCAUUCAAGUUCAAAGUCAAGGAGACGAAGCGGAGGAGAUCACGCGAUGAACGAAGGGGCUUCUGGACAGUUCGAACCUCCCAGGGAGAGAAGGAAGAAGCCGAAUUGGAAGGAAAGGCUGCCACACAGUGGGAAGCCCACACAGAGAAGAAGAUGAUGCUCGCUCAGAGGCUCUGGAUUUCACACUGAGUUAAGCUGAAUGGGAUUGGUGCUUUUUACUCAAAGAGCAUUUUGCUGAAAGUUUGACAGCUACAGAGAAACAUUUUAUCAGACCAUGAACUUUCUGAGAUGCUCAUGUAACAGCCCUCAGUUAUCGCUCUUUUUGCUGCUACUAAACAAUUUUGACAUCUCAACAAAAACACCAGUGGGAAGAUACAAACAGCAUCAAAGAUUGGAGAAGAACCAAGCUAAUUCGGUAGCAGGAUCAGACCUGCUGAGACAGACUUUUUCUGUUUCAAUCUGAAGAAUUUCUGC